UACGUAGGGGGCGAGCGUUGUCCGGAUUUAUUGGGCGUAAAGAGCUCGUAGGCGGUUUGGUAAGUUGGAUGUGAAAUCUCCAGGCUCAACUUGGAGGGGUCAUUCGAUACUGCCAUGACUAGAGUUCGGUAGGGGAGUGUGGAAUUCCUGGUGUAGCGGUGGAAUGCGCAGAUAUCAGGAGGAACACCAAUAGCGAAGGCAGCUCGCUGGGACGGUACUGACACUAAGGCGCGAAAGCGUGGGGAGCGAACAGG
rnacentral:rRNA from 1 species